AUUUACAGCCCUCUUCAACACUAAUUAACAGCGUUAAACUGACAAUACUGAACACCAUAAUUAGCAUGACAUUGUUUAAAGGGAGCAAGGAAAUGAAGUCUCGUUGAAACUGAGGUUCUAUCACUUGCAUCAUAUGUUUUACUUGGGUUGGUUCACAACUAUCAAUAAGUUCAUCUAAAGCAAGCAAUUUCUCUGGUCCACUCCAGCUCUAUCAAAGAGGAAUUAGAAAUUUUAUUAUUUUAAUAGAUGUCCCAAAUUAUAAAAUCAUAAAGGAAAAUCCACAUCUACACACAACAUAAAAGGUGGCUGACAUUUUCUCCAGAAGGCAUUGAACUGAUAAUCCUUUAGUCUCAUCAAGUUUACUAGCUACCUUUAUUUUGUAAAACCUUU